GCAAAGGUGGUUCAGUGGUAGAAUUCUCGCCUUCCAUAUGGGAGACCUGGGUUCGAUUCCCAGCCUGGGCC
rnacentral:tRNA from 1 species